rnacentral:rRNA from 1 species
CUCACCUGUCAAUGCUCCAUCUGGACUGAAGCUGAAGGUAAACAGGGCCGGGCCUGGUCAGUACGUGGAUGGGAGACCGUCGGGGAGACCAGGCGCAACAGUGGAGC